rnacentral:rRNA from 1 species
AUACGGAGGAUCCGAGCGUUAUCCGGAUUUAUUGGGUUUAAAGGGUGCGCAGGCGGGAGAUUAAGUCGGCGGUGAAAUUUUGCAGCUCAACUGUAAAAGUGCCUUCGAUACUGGUUUCCUUGAGUGUGGAUGGAGUAGGCGGAAUUUGUGGUGUAGCGGUGAAAUGCUUAGAUAUCACGAGGAACUCCGAUUGCGCAGGCAGCUUACUAAACCACUACUGACGCUCAGGCACGAAGGCGUGGGGAUCAAACAGGAUUAGAUACCCUGGUAGUCCACGCAGUAAACGAUGAUUACUGGCUGUUUGCGAUACAAUGUAAGCGGCUGAGCGAAAGCGUUAAGUAAUCCACCUGGGGAGUACGUUCGCAAGAAUGAAACUCAAAUGAAUUGGCGGGG